GACGAACGCUGGCGGCGUGCUUAACACAUGUAAGUCGAACGGAAAGGCCCUGCUUUUGUGGGGUGCUCGAGUGGCGAACGGGUGAGUAACACGUGAGUAACCUGCCCUUGACUUUGGGAUAACUUCAGGAAACUGGGGCUAAUACCGGAUAGGAGCUCCUGCUGCAUGGUGGGGGUUGGAAAGUUUCGGCGGUUGGGGAUGGACUCGCGGCUUAUCAGCUUGUUGGUGGGGUAGUGGCUUACCAAGGGUUUGACGGGUAGCCGGCCUGAGAGGGUGACCGGCCACAUUGGGACUGCGAUACGGACCAGACUCCUACGGGAGGCAGCAGUGGGGAAUAUUGCACAAUGGGCGGAAGCCUGAUGCAGCAACGCCGCGUGCGGGAUGACGGCCUUCGGGUUGUAAACCGCUUUCGCCUGUGACGAAGCGUGAGUGACGGUAAUGGGUAAAGAAGCACCGGCUAACUACGUG
rnacentral:rRNA from 1 species